rnacentral:sRNA from 1 species
UCCUUACACGAUUUUGUCUUGUGUUGCCAAGUCUACCUGUGCCAUCAACAACACCCUCAUUGCUUUCUUCAUUUUGACUACGAUAAAAGCGGCAGUACAUACCUGUGAAAAUGAAGAGCAAAGCCUUCUGGAUCUUUUCUUGGGAGUAUGCCAUGAUGUAUGUGGGAAGCCUAGUGGUAAUCAUUUGCCUCUCCUUCUUCCUUCUCAGCUCUUGGGAUUUCAUCCCCGCAGUCUAUGGCUUUAUGGAGCACCCCAUCUUCUUCAUGUUUAUCCAGAUCGCUGUCAUCGCCAUCUUUAAGUCCUACCCGACAGUGGGGGACGUGGCGCUCUACAUGGCCUUCUUCCCCGUGUGGAACCAUCUCUACAGAUUGGAGAGGAGAAAAGGAACGUGGCCCCUCCCUGAGUGUAGGUCCCAGAUGCUGGACUCUCUGGAGCUUGGAUGAGUCAUACAGACGCACAAUUGUGGUGUUAGGGAACAGCCUGCUGGCAGAGCCCAUGCCAGCCUGCAUGGUACAGCAGAAGGAGCCAGUUACCAAAGGGCUGGAUUUGUGUGUGUGUUUGUUUUGUUUUUAUUACUAUUGUAUAGCGAUAAAAGAAUGUUGAUCGAUAUACAUAUAAAGAAUCAUGAUAAAAUAUAUUCCCACGUGUUUUGGCACCUCGUUUAAGAAAGGAAAUAUCACCAUGGCCUUUGAAGUCCCCAAAUCCCCCCUGUUCCCCUUCUGAUUGGACUGGAUUUUUCAGGUG